rnacentral:rRNA from 1 species
CACGUAGGGCGCAAGCGUUGUCCGGAAUUAUUGGGCGUAAAGAGCUCGUAGGCGGUCUGUUACGUCUGCUGUGAAAACCCAGGGCUUAACCCUGGGCUUGCAGUGGAUACGGGCAGACUAGAGGCAGGUAGGGGAGAAUGGAAUUCCCGGUGUAGCGGUGAAAUGCGCAGAUAUCGGGAGGAACACCGGUGGCGAAGGCGGUUCUCUGGGCCGGUACUGACGCUGAGGAGCGAAAGCGUGGGGAGCAAACAGG